rnacentral:rRNA from 1 species
GACGAACGCUGGCGGCGUGCUUAACACAUGCAAGUCGAACGGAAAGGCCCUGCUUGCCGGGUACUCGAGUGGCGAACGGGUGAGUAACACGUGGGUGAUCUGCCCUGCACUUCGGGAUAAGCCUGGGAAACUGGGUCUAAUACCGGAUAGGAGCCAUUUUUAGUGUGAUGGUUGGAAAGUUUUUUCGGUGUAGGAUGAGCUCGCGGCCUAUCAGCUUGUUGGUGGGGUAAUGGCCUACCAAGGCGGCGACGGGUAGCCGGCCUGAGAGGGUGGACGGCCACAUUGGGACUGAGGUGCGGCCCAGACUCCUACGGGAGGCAGCAGUGGGGAAUAUUGCACAAUGGGCGCAAGCCUGAUGCAGCGACGCCGCGUGGGGGAUGACGGCCUUCGGGUUGUAAACGCCUUUCGCUAGGGACGAAGCUUUUUGUGACGGUACCUAGAUAAGAAGCACCGGCUAACUACGUG